GUCUGCUUUUAGGGCUAUAUUGCGCCCUUUUUAAUUUUGGAAGAACUAUCUUUGUUGCUUUAUACAACCAGGUGACUCUUUCAUUUUUCUUUUUCAAACCUUGGUUGAUUUAUCAAUUUUAUUUAUGGAUUUAUCAAAAUUGAUUGUGUGUAUGUAUUUUUAUUUCAGACUUGGAUCGUUUACAAUAUUGAAGUUUGAAGUUUGAAGGUUCUUUGGGGUUUUUCUCAAUACAAUGUCAGCAGAUAUAGCCACCUCUCACGGCGGAGAUGGUGGAGGUCUAGACCCGCCAGAUCCUAGUAGAGUACCAUCUUCCUGCGAGUCAGCUGAAGUGCCGAGAAGAAAGGGUCGUGGCCUGGCUAAUUCGAAGCCACUUGAAAUUCGACGGCGAAAUGCCGGGAAACCACUAGAUCUUCAGCUUGAUCCUAGGACGGACAAAGUGGUUGGCUUGGAGGACCAAGCUUUUGUCCGCGAGAUAGGCCUCCAAGUCACUUUGUUGUUGCCAGGACAUUACUUGGAUUUCGCUGAUAUACCUCAACAAUUUAAGGAACAAGUCGUACAAAGG